rnacentral:rRNA from 1 species
CCUCUCGGGGGUAAGCGGGCAGAACUUGCAMGUAUUGGCGAGAGAUUCAGACUUAGAUUUDGAGGUUGAGUAUAUUUGUUAAGUUGUUCAUUCGUGAACUGACUAAUUUGUGUACUUUAUUCCUUUGAAAAUGCGUCGCAUUUCUCUUUGUCAUUCGGGUUGCAUGCAACUGAAUUUGGUGGUUUAAGUACUGAGAAUCUGUAAAUUAUUCUUACGAAYGAUUKAAGGCUUAGUWUUCCAACUACUAUUGCGG